AUGAACGCUAGCGACAGGCUUAACACAUGCAAGUCGAGGGGCAUCAUGAGGUAGCAAUACCUUGAUGGCGACCGGCGCACGGGUGAGUAACGCGUAUGUAACCUGCCUGAUACAGGGGCAUAGCCCAUGGAAACGUGGAUUAAAUCCCCAUAUGGCUUAUAUGAGGCAUCUUUUAUAAGUAAAAUCUAUAGAGGUAUCAGAUGGGCAUGCGUCCUAUUAGUUAGUUGGCGGGGUAACGGCCCACCAAGGCGAUGAUAGGUAGGGGUUCUGAGAGGAAGGUCCCCCACAUUGGAACUGAGACACGGUCCAAACUCCUACGGGAGGCAGCAGUGAGGAAUAUUGGUCAAUGGACGUAAGUCUGAACCAGCCAAGUCGCGUGAGGGAAGACUGCCCUAUGGGUUGUAAACCUCUUUUAUAAGGGAAGAAUAAGUUCUACGAGUAGAAUGAUGCCUGUACCUUAUGAAUAAGCAUCGGCUAACUCCGUGCCAGCAGCCGCGGUAAUACGGAGGAUGCGAGCGUUAUCCGGAUUUAUUGGGUUUAAAGGGUGCGUAGGCGGUUUAUUAAGUUAGUGGUUAAACGUCAGAGCUAAACUUUGAUUUGCCAUUAAUACUGGUAAACUGGAGUACAGACGAGGUAGGCGGAAUAAGUUAAGUAGCGGUGAAAUGCAUAGAUAUAACUUAGAACUCCGAUAGCGAAGGCAGCUUACCAGGCUGUAACUGACGCUGAAGCACGAGAGCGUGGGUAGCGAACAGGAUUAGAUACCCUGGUAGUCCACGCCGUAAACGAUGCUCACUGGUUCUGUGCGAUAUAUUGUACGGGAUUAAGCGAAAGUAUUAAGUGAGCCACCUGGGGAGUACGUCGGCAACGAUGAAACUCAAAGGAAUUGACGGGGGCCCGCACAAGCGGAGGAACAUGUGGUUUAAUUCGAUGAUACGCGAGGAACCUUACCCGGGCUUAAAUUGCAGAUGAAUUACGGUGAAAGCCGUAAGCCGCAAGGCGUCUGUGAAGGUGCUGCAUGGUUGUCGUCAGCUCGUGCCGUGAGGUGUCGGGUUAAGUCCCAUAACGAGCGCAACCCUUAUGUUUAGUUGCCAUCAGGUUAAGCUGGGCACUCUAAACAGACUGCCGCCGUAAGGUGAGAGGAAGGGGGGGAUGACGUCAAAUCAGCACGGCCCUUACACCCAGGGCUACACACGUGUUACAAUGGCCGGUACAGAGGGCCGCUACCAGGUGACUGGAUGCCAAUCUCAAAAGCCGGUCGUAGUUCGGAUUGGAGUCUGUAACCCGACUCCAUGAAGUUGGAUUCGCUAGUAAUCGCGCAUCAGCCAUGGCGCGGUGAAUACGUUCCCGGGCCUUGUACACACCGCCCGUCAAGCCAUGGGAGCCGGGGGUGCCUGAAGUCCGUAACCGUGAGGAUCGGCCUAGGGCAAAACUGGUAACUGGGGCU
rnacentral:rRNA from 1 species